ensembl:lncRNA
CUUUAACCUGGCAUACACAUAUUUACCCAAAGCUGGGAACACUUCCCAUAACAUCCGGUGUACUUCUUACUUUGUAAGAAUGGCAUCUAAACUUAUAAUAGUCUCUCUGUUUGAUUUUUAUUCUGAGGUAACCAUUUCCAGUCCAUAUCCAUAUAAGAUGGUGGACCUGCACCUAGAAAAGACCUGACUUGAACAGACUUGAAUGACCACGAUACAAGGAUACAACUAGAUGAGCCAGACAGAUCCCCUGUGAAGACAUAAUCGACAUGACAGCCAUCAGCACAGAUCCUCGUUGAAGACGACAAGAACCAGACAAGUCCUCUGCACAGCCCCUGUGACCAGUUUCAAAUCCUUCUCCAUGUAAUGUACUGCAAUCUUCAAUCAUAAGGAACUGGAUGAAUAUUCUGAAUGAUACCAAUUCACGAACUGACUUGUGAUGCGGCCUAAUGUUCAUUGUCCUGGCCAGACAGAACUGCUCCCUCCCUCCACCUGCCACUCUUGUGUUCAGUGGGUCUUUUAUAAGAGAGAAAAAAAAUCAGUCUUUGAGGGCUUCACAUCCUGUUCCUGUUCUUCCUGACCUGAGGAUACCUGCUUCCUGUUCCUUGAACAACAGUGGCUGUAACUGAGGAAACCAACACUAUGACUGGUGUGUUGCUAUACUAGUUGGGAAAAAAGCAAGUGUUGUCCCAAUUUUCUAUUUCAAUGAAGGUAUGAGACAAAAGACUUUUGAAGAUUUAUUUCUUGA